CCUCGCCCUUCAGCUCCAUUCCAAAGGGUACCGAACGGAUUGCGAUCUCUGAGCUCUCUUCUUCCGCUUCACAGCGCGGUGUCGUCGGCCAGGUUGACGUCGCGGCUAGGGUCCGACUGCGCGAGGUCACUGUACCAGGAACUAUCUCUCUGUGUCCCUCGAUAAAACACCAGUUCAGCGGCAAACGGAGUUUGCACCAGCCCGGUUCCCUUCAAUAAUCUCUAUUUCCCUUAUUUCUAUCAAUGUUGAAUACUUGAUUCAAUCACUUUCAGGAUCAAACCACUGUAAUCUGUGGUAUCAUGUUAAGACUCAUUCUAUGCACCUUUUGUCUUCAAUGUUCCAGGAAGUUUCUGCACAAUUUGGUUAUAAUUUAAUCUAUUUGCCCAUCAAUUAUAUGAUAAUAUUUUAUGAAUAUCUUGAUUCUUGUCAUUGAUCAAUGGGUUUAUUUUAGCCUGGACUUGUCUUAAACCUUAAGUUACUUAGCUUAAUGAAAUUCUCCAGUUAGCAGGCACCUCAAACGUAUGCCAAUGCAGCACUCUACGUAUCUCACCAAACAGCACUCUAAAGCCAUGCCCUUAUUCCUCUACAAAACCAUACCACAUUGUCUUCCUAACCUACCAGCUACCUGAUGGAGUCUGUUGGCUCGAGUUCACCACCUCCGGUGAUCACUGCUGGCCGGUACAACUCGUCGCAGCUCAUCGCCGACAGGAUCGCCCGUGCCAUCCACCACCGUCUUCGCCUUCUCCACAGAUCCAACUCCCAGUUCUUCAUCCUUGGUGCAACGGGCAAUGUCUACACUGUUACACUCACCGCUACCCCCUCCUGCACUUGCCCUGACCGGACGAUACCUUGCAAGCACAUCCUCUUUGUGCUUCUCCGUGUUCUCCGACUGCCAUUUGAUGAUGUCUGCCUGCGGAGACGGGUGUUGAGACCAUGUCACCUCACCCGCCUGCUCGCCAUACCUACUUCUGCUGCUACUCUUGCCGGUGCCCGUGCUAGGGAAAGGUUUCAUCAACUAUACUCAACUCCAGGUGGAAUUUUAAAUAUGCACACACGGCCGAGACCGUUGGAGGAGGGUGCAUUAUGCCCUAUAUGUCUAGAGCCGAUGAGUGACGAUGAUGAGGGAGGUACCCUAGUAACAUGCAGAACAUGCGGGAACUCGCUCCACGGCGAGUGUCUAGCCAAGUGGAGGAGAAGCAGGGGAAGGAGAGCCGCCACAUGCGUUGUUUGCCGCUCCCGAUGGCAGGAGCAGAGGGAUCAAGAGAGAUACAUCAACUUGGCAGCGUUUGCAGGCGAAGAUGACGACAACAAUGACUACAUGUCCACGGACAACACCGAAGUUUCUUGCUCAACAAACGGGCAAUAGUGGACUCGAUUCAACCUAAAAACUUAGACUAAUAAAAUCCCUGACAUGUAUAUAUAUUUAUAUAUAUAAUCCAUCAAAUAUUUAAUUAAUUAUUGCAUGGUUGAUCCUAUGUAUCACGGGAUCUAAAUGCCUUGGAAGAUUUGCAUGGCCAUAGGCCACAAAUACUUGUCUUUUUUAACCCGUGAAGCUCUUUCUCUUUCUCUAUUUAACCUUCAAUGUCUGAAUAUUUGUAUAUGCUUGGAUGACAAUGGAAGGCCUUGGCUGCUCAAUUGAUAUGGAACCAAGAACUCUAAAUGGAGGAGAACUCAAGAGUGCCAUAGUGGCUGCAGUGGAUGUAAUUCAGAGCAAGAACCCAAAUGAAGCAGCAAGUAUUUUUACAGAGGGAAUGGAGGCUGUGAUUUCAAUUAAAGGAAUGGAGAAGAAGCUGGAGAAAAGAGACAAGUUUCAUAAGCUUGUGGAGAAGAGUUACAAGGAAGGAAGUGAUAUUCAUGGAGGUUCAUGGGAUUGUCAUUGUACUAACUCUAACCCUGACCAUAGUUCUCUUAUUGAAGAGUGGUGUGAUUCAGUGAAGACAAGAGAGCCUUUAUCUUCUCCAUUUUGAGAUUCUCAUUUUCUUUUUCUUUCUUCUUUCUCUACUUGUUUAUGAAUCUCUUAUUUAUGUUGUGUGUUGUGUUUGUUUUAUGCUUAUGUAUAAUGUAUUGA